rnacentral:lncRNA from 1 species
GGGCAGGUGGGCUGAGAGGAAGGCCCUCACCUGAUGGGGGAAGGCACCAGGGACAGAUGCCCUUGCUCCCUGGAGGCAUUUCCUCCGGAUGAGGUUCCAUCCUACCUCACCAUCUUCCUUUCUUUGUGACUAAGUUUACGGGUCGAACUCAAGGAGAAAGGAGUAAGUUUAAAUUCACCAGCAGGGAUUUCUGCUGCAGGCCGCCAUUCACAAGACACUUGAUCUGUGGGGAUUUUAUAACGUCUCAUAACAAGGUUCAUUCUGCUGGGCCUCUCGAACUAGAAUGUGAGUGGACCCCACAGGGGUCUGGAGGGAGCCCAGCCUCUGGCCCCUGCCUCCCAGGCUGGCUCUGGGGGCACCUCACCUUACAGGCUAAGCUUAUCUGUUGGAAAAAUCACACUGGCCAGGGCUUCGUGUCUUGGGUGGAGAGUGGCUGGGGUAGAGCCAUGGGAGGAGUUAGUGCCCUUGCAGACGGUUUUCGAUUCUGUCACCACCCCUUGCCUCUCUCCAGCCUGAGUGCAGUGCCUCCCGGGUCCUCUGGACUCCAGGCAUCCAUUGAGUCCUCCUAUCCUGGAGCCUUCUCCAGGUGUCCUUCAUUCAGACACUGGACUGUUAACAGCGGAUUGCUGUCCUCCGUCUAAAUGGCUCUUCGUUCAAAGAUAGUUCUGACCCAGCAGGAGCUUCCUCCAGCCCUCGGGUUUCCUGAUUUCUUUUGCCUGCAGCGGGACCAAGCCAGACCUGGUUCCGUACUUGGUACCCACAGGGUGCACGUCUGAUGGGCGUUUGAAACAAGCGAGCAAAAGAGGGUGCUCUGGAGAGAGUUGCCUGGCGACAGUCUGCUGCUGGCCAAGAGGGAAGGAAACGCCAGUCAGGUGUCGCCGUGGCAACCAGAAGCACUUAGGUCAGGGACAAGGAUGUGGCUGGGUUAGGUGAAGGGAGGGACAGACAUUGCAGCAGCUCUGAGGACAAGGACAAGUGGGGCUCUGGGAUUUUCCCAAAGUGGUUAAGAAUCCUCCUGAGUUAUGUCCGUGAUGCUUUUCUGUGCCAAGCAUUUUUGUUCUCUGUGGACACAGCGCAGCGCCCAGAGGGAUGGAGAUGACUUCAGGGGAAAGUGGCUGUUUGCUUCUCCUCUUUGGUUCCGAGGUUAUGUUUGUUUCCGGGAAGAGGCUGCCAGGGUGAGGAUUUGAAGUGAAGCAAGACGCCUUAGGCUCCUUGUUCCUCAAAGCUAGCUACGUCCCUCUGAUUGCAUCAGAACUUGGUUUAGUAUUGCAGGUAAUUAAAAUAACAGUGCUUAAGUAAAAAAGUUAUGGGCUGACAUAAAUGAAACUCUGAAGGCAGGAGCUAGUCUUUCAGGAGGCUGGAGGCCACUGAGGAUACAGCUUCAUGGGUUGCCUUCUACCAUGUCUUCUUUGAGCUCAGGCUACAGGCAGUGGCUGCCUGGCAAUUUGAGUUUCUCCUCAUGGUGGCAGAAGGACCGCCAUGUCUCAUACUACCUCCUCACGCUUUCCUCUUUCUCAGCACACGGGCAAAUGUUCUAUGGAGCCUUACUUAUUCUUUGUCCACUAGUUACCCAUUUCUGUACCAGUUGUUGGGACCAAGGGAUACAUUGACUGAGCAGUCUGCCCAGCUGGAGUUGGGAGUUAGGUCCUUCCUAUGCAAUGUGGGAAGUGUUUAUUGAGUAGUUAUUGUGUGGGGAACCCCAUUUAUUGUUAAGCUGUUCACAUAUUAAUCAUUUAAUCUUCACAACAACCCUAGGAGGUAGGUUCAGUUAUUCCCAUGGUGCAGGUGAAGAAUCUGAGGCACAGGGAGGCUAAUUAAUUAGCUUGCCUAAGUCGCACAGCUGAUCCAUGCCAGAAAACAGAGGGAGAAGGUCAGGCUGCCAAGUAGCACACUAGGCCACGACUGCGCACACUGUCAAGGGCACUGUCCUCAGCACCUUACCACCUCUUCCCUCCUCCACUCUGGUGGAGAGGAUGCAGAAAGUUCUGGGAGAGACCAGCAGGGCUGGCAACCCUGAGCACACCCAGGUGAGCUCCAGGGCUAUUAAAACCCCGAUGCUAGCCCCUCAGGGUCAGAGAGACUGCGGUUGUCAUGGGCCCCUGGGUCUUCCUGAGG